rnacentral:rRNA from 1 species
AGAGUUUGAUUAUGGCUCAGGAUGAACGCUAGCGACAGGCUUAACACAUGCAAGUCGAGGGGCAGCGGGUAGAUGAGCUUGCUCAUUUAUGUCGGCAACCGGCGCACGGGUGAGUAACACGUAUGCAACCUGCCCGUCUCAGGGGGAUAAUCGUCGGAAACGGCGUCUAAUACCCCGUAUGAAGCUGGACGGCAUCGUCUGGUUUUGAAAGAAUAUCGGAGACGGAUGGGCAUGCGGCGCAUUAGCUAGUUGGCGGGGUAACGGCCCACCAAGGCGACGAUGCGUAGGGGUUCUGAGAGGAAGGUCCCCCACACUGGUACUGAGACACGGACCAGACUCCUACGGGAGGCAGCAGUGAGGAAUAUUGGUCAAUGGGCGAGAGCCUGAACCAGCCAAGUCGCGUGAGGGAGUACUGCCCUAUGGGUUGUAAACCUCUUUUGUCGGGGAGCAAAAGCCGGACGUGUCCGUCUGUGA